AACUGUGUUGCUAUGAGCGGAGAGGUUUUACAAACAAAUUGUGCAUGUCGGAAAACACAAAUGUGAACGUCCCAGUCCCGUGUUUGCAGUAAAUGGGGAAUUGCCUCAGCGGCUGCAGGCCUGAGUGAGCGCCGCCAUCUUUAUUCGGGACAAGGAUUCACUGGACACGUGCGGAGCCGCCAUCUUUGUAGGGGGCAAGGUGCAGCCAGGCGCAUGUGCAGCCUCUCUCUGGUACAGAGUCAUUGUGAUGACAGCAGCCAAUCCUGCUCUGAUUCACCUCUGGGCUCCCUCAGGACCACUUUGUCAAUGUCCAGCUUCCUCAGUCUCCAACCAUGGGGAUCCCAGUGAUUAAUGCCAAAGCCCUGUUGCCUGUGGAGAGGGUGAUGUUUGACUUUCUUGUACAGCUGCAGUUUGUGUGGUGAAGGUGCUCCCACAAUGUGGUUGGAUCCCAGUGAUUAAUGCCAAAGCCCCAUUGCCUGGGGAGAGGGUGAUGUUUGACUUCCUUGUACAGCUGCAGUUUGUGUGGUGAAGGUGCUCCCACAAUGUGGUUGGGUGGACAUUCAGAUGGUAACCUCAGUAUUUGUAACACCAAACUCUGACAGAAUUACUCAAUUCAUCAGGACCUGGAUAUUUGCAUU